AAACAAUCGCAUGAGUGCUGCUGUUUGACUGAGGAAGAAUAAAAGUCGUGUUUGGAAGAGGCCACUAAUCUCACUGGUGUAGAAGAGAAAGAAUCAGGCUCAGAAACUCCUCUGACUAUAAUGGACUGAUCCCACUAAACAUUGGAUGUCGGGUAGACGUGCAGAUCAUGCCUAUUGGGUCUAUUCUGGACAUGUGCAGGACUUCCGAACUAGGUCCAACCAUGACCCAACCUGGACAUCAAUAUGACGUUCAACAUUUAAGCUUCGGAUUGGGUGAAUUUUAUGGACAUCAUAUUGACGUUUAUGACAGGUGCAGGGAAUUUACAUGAUUAAUAAAUGUAACAUUUGUUAUUUACAAAUAUUAGCAUUGUUGUUAUCAAAAUGAUACCUAUGAAUAUGGAUUACUUAUAAAGAAACACAAUUUAUUGUGUGUUAGCCUAAUGAUUUAUAAAGCACAUGUGGGUUUUUUGUUUUGUUUGAUAAUUUACAUUUUCCUGUUUUUUUUCUUUUUCUUUUUUCUUUUUUCUUUUUAAUUAAUCAACUUGUUUGUAACCAUGUUAAAAUUGUCAUUUAUUAAAAUAUUCAAAACAUUGAAAUCCAUGUUAAAAUGUAAAAGUAUUUGGAAAAUUUAUGGAAUUCCUUUUAAAAGGAGUAAAAUGUGUUUAAUAAGACAAAAAGAGCAUUUGCUAUAUAUAUGGUUCGUUUUUAUUUUUGUGGGGUUAGAAUCCAGUUUUAUUGUGAAUUAAGAGGAAGUGAGGGUAGGAGCACCAGGUUCAGUGUGUGGUGUUGGACCUGACAGCAGAUCUGUGUCACAAGGGGAAUAUUGUAAAUAAAGCA